UUUAAUAUGGCAGAUUUUAAGUGCAAUAGAUUUAAACCCUAUUUAUAAAGAUUCAUUAAUCUUUUAUUAAAA
rnacentral:tRNA from 1 species